rnacentral:lncRNA from 10 species
GUGAUUAGAGGUCUCUUAGAGACUGGCACACUAGGCAGCCACCUGGUUGGCCUCCCCUUCAUUCAGUCAGCUCUGCCAUUCAGCUUUCUUCCAGCCUCUGCACAUUACCUGUCCUAGUUCUUGUUUUAUUGUACUGCCACUCAACUUUUCUGAAUCUCCCACUUGGCUGUGUCUCUGUACCUGCUAAAUCAACACAGUUCCUGGCAUACAGGUGCAUUUCAGUGCAUGCUGGUGAGACAGCGAAGGGCUUGAAACAGUCCACAAAAGUUGAUGCAGGAGAGCAGUACAAUCCUUUCUGGAGUGGGACUCAGAGAAAGAUCAUGCAUGUUGAAGUCAUUCCAGCAGCAGUCCAGGGGAGUUGGGGCAGGUAAGAUGGGAUAAGUGCACUCCAACCAUCAUUUCUGUUGGUCAUAACUCCAGGAGAGAAAGUUUAGAACAGCUAUUUGAGGACGGUGAAAAGAAAACAGCAGAAGGAAUAUUGGUGAAGAACACAGAAUUUGAAGUACAUCAAACCAGUAGGCUCACUUCCAAGCCAUACAUGUUUGGAUCUGGUUUUAAUGAGGAUACCAAGACCUUUGAGAACUGAAGUAAUAGAGAGGUCAUCACCUGGUUCCUAGACUGGCUUCUGGGUGGUGCACACCUGAAAUGGAGACAAAAAGCAGUUUGAAAACUGAGUGGAUGUUGACAUCACAGCGCACAGAAGAAAUAAUGUCUCGCUAUGUUGCCCAGGCUGGACUUCAACUUCUUGGCUCAAGUGAUCCUCCCACCUCAGUCUCUCGAAUAGCUGGGACUAUAGGCAUGGGCCAUUGUGCCCAGUUCAGAGGAACCUUUUCAGAGAGGAUGGUCAGGACAGCCUCUUUGAGCAGGACUAGCCAUAAUUUGAAGAUGCUGGAAAAAAAUAUUCACAGUCUCUGGAAAUCUAGCAAAGUGAUCAGGAUUCUUUCCUUUGGCACUUCAAAGCAGAGUCAACAAAAAAAGCUGGGGGCGUUUUUUUGUGGUUAUAUGUUAAAAGUGCAGCUUCCAGACAAGGCUCAGAGGCCCUUCUCUGCCAGAUGGUGGCUCUAAGUCCUUUCAUAGAGAAGUUCCAGAACCAGCUGCUUAUAUCCUGGCACUGCCGUUUGUGGGCAGCAUGUGCACCUCCAAGACACUUAACCUCUCUGAGCUCCUGUUUCCUCUUGGAGGAGUGGAAUCAUGAUUACCUUGCAGGAUUGGGACUGUCUCCUAGGUUGAUGCUUGUGAGAAUCUUUGUACAGCACCCAAGAGGAGGCCAGGAAUGUUCUUUCCUUUCCCUUUCCUGCAUUAGAAGAAGUUGUGAAAGGCUUGGAAGUGGGCAAAGGGGAUGACUGGGUGUCCUUUCAGUGGAACACUGGGCAUUUAUCUGAUGCUGCUGGGGUCUGUGUCUUUGACUGGGUGACUUAUAAUCCCUGGAAAACUGAUAGAAAUGCAAACAAUUCUUGCCUAUCAAAACAUAAGUGUGGUGGCUCACGCCUGUAAUCCCAGCACUUUGGAAGGCAGAGGCAGGUGGAUUGCUUGAGCUCAGGAGUCUGAGACCAACCUGAGCAACAUAGCAAAACCCCAUCUCUCUAAAAAGUACAAAAAUUAGCUGGGAGUGGUGCACACACCUAUAGUGUCAGCUACUUGGGAAGCUGAAGUGGGAGGAUUGCUUGAGCCUGGGAGGUUGAGGCUGCAAUGAGCUGUGAUUGUGCCACUGCACUCUAGCCUGGGCAACAGAGCCGAGACCCUGUCUCAAAAAACAAAAACAAAAAACCCCAAAACCUAAAGAAACAUAAGUGAAUAUUGUCCUCUAAUGAUACAAGUAACUUCUGUUAUGGAUAACAGAUUAUUCCAAACAGUGUAGUUUCUUGACCUAUGGAUAUGAACCAGUUUUCUCUCUGUUAGCAUUCCUGGCUGUCUACACAUGUCUAUCCUUCAGAUUCUGCUUUGAAAUGAUUGUGACAUCUUACUGGUUCCUUUAUUAAUUGAUGAGUUAAAUGAUAUCUUUGACAUAUGUUCAUUUUGUGUUGUAUGAGUCAUGACUUUACCUUUGAAAAUGGUAUUUUAACACCCACUUCCUUGAUGAUUCAUAAAUCAGUAAUUUAGAUCAGACUUUCACCAUCCA